rnacentral:tRNA from 1 species
GGGCCCGUAGUCCAGUUUGGCAGGAUGCGGGGUAUGCAUGUCCCUGUGGUCGGGGGUUCAAAUCCCCCCGGGCCCA